AACGAACGCUGGCGGCAUGCCUAACACAUGCAAGUCGAACGAGACCUUCGGGUCUAGUGGCGCACGGGUGCGUAACGCGUGGGAACCUGCCCUUAGGUUCGGAAUAACUCCCCGAAAGGGGUGCUAAUACCGGAUAAUGUCUUCGGACCAAAGAUUUAUCGCCUUUGGAUGGGCCCGCGUUGGAUUAGCUAGUUGGUAGGGUAAAAGCCUACCAAGGCGACGAUCCAUAGCUGGUCUGAGAGGAUGAUCAGCCACACUGGGACUGAGACACGGCCCAGACUCCUACGGGAGGCAGCAGUGGGGAAUAUUGGACAAUGGGCGAAAGCCUGAUCCAGCAAUGCCGCGUGAGUGAUGAAGGCCUUAGGGUUGUAAAGCUCUUUUACCCGGGAUGAUAAUGACAGUACCGGGAGAAUAAGCGCCGGCUAACUCCGUU
rnacentral:rRNA from 1 species